AUGAUUUCUCCGCGCACUCUCUCGCUCGCCUUCGCUCCCAUUCUCUCUCUCUCCUUCCCCCACAAGCGCGUGCGUCUCCUCCCUCCAUCCCUCUCCCGGCGGCGGCGGCGGCGGCGGGCGAACACCGACCGAUCGCGAGCAGCAAUGUCAGGCAAGUACAUCAUCGGUUCGCUGGUUGGAUCCCUUGGCAUUGCAUAUGUCUCCGACACCAUCGUUUCCGACAAGAAGAUCUUCGGAGGCACCGUCUGCAAGACGGCGACAGACAAGGAGUGGUUUCAGGCCACGGACGCCAAGUUCCAGGCCUGGCCCCGUGUCGCCGGGCCGCCGGUCAUCAUGAACCCCAUCAGCCGCCAGAACUUCAUCGUGAAGGACCCCUGA
rnacentral:rRNA from 1 species